CCCCGUACAAUAAGUAUCUCACUCCGGGGUGGCGGGAUGUGGGGUGUGUUUCCGGGCGGAGAGUGGGAAGCAAGGGUGAUCAGAGUAGAAAAAAAAAAGAAAUUAAUAAAACAACUAGUGCCAAAUUUACAAAGGUCUCUGUGCGCCUAAUUAUGAACCGAGGCGACUGGUGAGGUCUGAUACUCUGGCAAAGGUCUAAGAAAAUCCUCUUCGGAGAGAAAUCUGAAGCCCAGUAAAAGGUAAAACCAUGACACAAACAAACCAAAAACCCGUCUCACUCCAACUGCAAGGACAAUAUCUUAUACAGCUCCACCCUACAACAUCCUCCUUUUCUUCCAUCUGGCCAAAACUAUUACUGGGGGAAAACCCCGAUUAUUGCCUAAUUAAUUAACCAAUCCCAUUCUGCUUUAAUAAUCUCUCACGAUUUAGCUGGAAAUCAGGGUAAAUUAGUACUGCACUGGGGCUGCCUGACAACACUCGCCGUUUGCAAACGAGCCGUGUGUGCUGCAGAGACGAACUCACUUGGGAAAAUUAAUCUGUGGGGGAGGAGGGGCGGUUGUGUUGAACACUUCUACAGUUCCCCGGCAGAGGGCGCUGCAGUCCAAGCAGAAGCGCCCCGUGUAAACGCGAUGACCCACGGGUCUCUUUCACCCCUUGGCUUUUUCAUGCAGUCUAGUUCCCAUGUCACCCUGUCUGAGCCGCCUCCUGGCAGACACAGGGCACUUGCCAAGCAGACACAGAAGGGGCUUUGUGUGGUUGGCACCAGCAGUGACACAUCCCAAAAUAAAGCAGCAGCAUCAUUGCAUGCGUCUCUCUCCCUUGGGUUUGCAGCUGUAGGAAAAAAGGACAGGGCUUCUGUGUCACUGACUGUCCUCGGGGCUGGAGAGAGAGACAAGGGCCUGACCCCUGCAGAAGAGCAGAGAAAUCCAGAUUUUUCUGAGGAUGGGAACAAUCGGGGGCUCAGCGAUUGUGCUGGUUCUUGUUUUGAGCGCUCCAGGCAGAGCCAAGAUCCAGCAGCCGGUCUCGGCAGAAGCUUUGGAGGGAGCCGAACUGAACCUCACCUGCUCUCACCCCUCAGCCAGCACUGAUAAUAUACUCUGGUACCGGCAGUUUCCGAACCGAGGACCCGAAUUUAUAGUGACUGGAUUCAGUGGAACCGCUCACAGCCCCGACCCAGAGGGAACCUUGCACAUCUCCAGGGAUAAAGAAAACAGCACCUUCGCCCUGCGCAGGGUGCGGCUCGCAGACUCAGCGGUGUAUUACUGUGCUCGGAGCGACACAGUGGGACAGCCAGGGGAGGCUCCCGUACAAUAAAUCCCCUACU